rnacentral:rRNA from 1 species
ACUCCUACGGGAGGCAGCAGUGGGGAAUAUUGCACAAUGGGCGAAAGCCUGAUGCAGCCAUGCCGCGUGUAUGAAGAAGGCCUUCGGGUUGUAAAGUACUUUCAGUUGUGAGGAAGGGUGUGUAGUUAAUAGCUGCAUAUCUUGACGUUAGCAACAGAAGAAGCACCGGCUAACUCCGUGCCAGCAGCCGCGGUAAUAC